rnacentral:tRNA from 1 species
GGGCCUAGAGCUCAGCUGGUUAGCGCGCACGCCUGAUAAGCGGGAGGUCGAUGGUUCGAGUCCAUUUAGGCCCA